UUCCAGACUCCUACGGGAGGCAGCAGUCGGGAAUAUUGCGCAAUGGAGGAAACUCUGACGCAGUGACGCCGCGUAUAGGAAGAAGGUUUUCGGAUUGUAAACUAUUGUCGUUGGGGAAGAGAAAGGACAGUACCUAAGGAGGAAGCUCCGGCUAACUACGUGCCAGCAGCCGCGGUAAUACGUAGGGAGCGAGCGUUAUCCGGAAUUAUUGGGUGUAAAGGGUACGUAGACGGGAAAGCAAGUCAGUUGUGAAAUCCCUCGGCUUAACUGAGGAACUGCAACUAAAACUACUUUUCUUGAGUGCAGGAGAGGUAAGUGGAAUUCCUAGUGUAGCGGUGAAAUGCGUAGAUAUUAGGAGGAACACCAGUGGCGAAGGCGACUUACUGGACUGUAACUGACGUUGAGGCACGAAAGUGUGGGGAGCAAACAGGAUUAGAUACCCGCGUA
rnacentral:rRNA from 1 species